rnacentral:tRNA from 1 species
CGGGGAGUAGCGUAGUUGGCUAACGCGCCUGCUUUGGGAGCAGGAGACCGUGGGUUCAAGUCCCGCCUCCCCGA